AGAAACCACGUCGGCCGUCGCCAACACAGCCCACUCCCAUCCCCGCACCGCCCAAGGAGCCUCCCAAAAUCCGGUUUUCAGCUGCGGCGGCCGCUGCUUCCCGCCGGCGACGUACUAAUGGUGGAUGCUGGUCUUUGUUUUUGCUGGAUGCCUUGACAGGUUCCCACUUCGGGAGGAGUUCGUCGGCAGCCUAGAACACCCAGAUCCGGUCCCUGUCGCUGUGCUGCGGACGGGAGAAGCCAGCCCUGUUGUGCUGGAGGAGUCAAACGCAGGAUCUGGAUGAGGGCAACAAGUUGGUGUCGCCGGCCGGAGGAGUCGCAGGGCGGCAUGCGCCGGUGGCGUGAGGCAUACUCGGUCUUCCCAAUCGUCCGACAGGUUCAACCCCAAGGCGCCCGAUUGGACAAAAAGGUUGCGUCUCGGCAGUGCACCACCCGACAGGAUGCCGUGCCCCUCUAGGAUGAGUGCACAAGAGGAGUCGAUUUGCAAAUACGUGGAGGAGCCAACACAAAGUGUUAUUACACCAGAACUAGGAAUUAGUUUCGACUCACUUGGCGAUGGAUAUGAUUUCUACACCUUGUAUUCGUGAGAGGUCGGCUUGGGAGUUAGGUAUGGAAAGAACAGGCUGAAUGCCGAGAGGACCAAAUCAGUGCAGGAGAUCGUUUGCGGAUGUUGGUUGUGUACUAAGAAAAUGGACUUCAAAUUUGUUACCUGCAGAUCAGCUGAUUUGCAAGUUUCAUGCUAUACUGAGAAGCAACUAUAUGUAACAUGCAUGUAUAUCUGUUUGUUAGAUAGUUGUUGAUUGGAAAGAAUCCACUGGAA